rnacentral:rRNA from 1 species
CACUUCGGUGGCGAGUACAGUGGCGCACGGGUGAGUAACGCGUAGAUGAUCUACCCUUCAGUCUGGGACAACUCUUGGAAACGGGAGCUAAUACCGGAUAAAACCUUCGGGUUGAAAGAUUUAUCGCUGGGGGAUGAGUCUGCGUACCAUUAGCUUGUUGGUGGGGUAACGGCCUACCAAGGCGACGAUGGUUAGCGGGUCUGAGAGGACGAUCCGCCACACUGGAACUGAGACACGGUCCAGACUCCUACGGGAGGCAGCAGUAGGGAAUAUUGCGCAAUGGGGGCAACCCUGACGCAGCAAUGCCGCGUGAGUGAAGAAGGCCUUCGGGUCGUAAAGCUCUUUUAUGGGGGAAGAUGAUGACGGUACCCCAUGAAUAAGCACCGGCUAACUACGUGCCAGCAGCCGCGGUAAUACGUAGGGUGCGAGCGUUGUUCGGAAUUACUGGGCGUAAAGGGCGUGCAGGCGGAUUGGCAAGCCGGAGGUGAAAGCCCGGGGCUCAACCCCGGAGGGUCUUUCGGAACUGCCAGUCUUGAGAGGGUCAGGGGCCAGCGGAAUUCCUGGUGUAGAGGUGAAAUUCGUAGAGAUCAGGAGGAACACCGGCGGCGAAAGCGGCUGGCUGGGGCCACUCUGACGCUGAGGCGCGAAAG